rnacentral:tRNA from 1 species
CCUGGUGGCUCAGUGGUAAAGAACCUGCCUGCCAAGCAGGAGACCUGGGUUCGAUCCCUGGAUCAGGA